rnacentral:rRNA from 1 species
AGAGUUGAUCAUGGCUCAGGAUGAACGCUGGCGGCGUGCCUAACACAUGCAAGUCGAACGAAGCACUUAGACAGAACCUCGGGUGACGUAUGGUGACUGAGUGGCGGACGGGUGAGUAACGCGUGGGUAACCUGCCCUGUACAGGGGGAUAACAGUUAGAAAUGACUGCUAAUACCGCAUAAGCGCACGAUGGUAGCAUUACCAGGUGUGAAAAACUCCGGUGGUACAGGAUGGGCCCGCGUCUGAUUAGCUUGUUGGCGGGGUAAGAGCCCACCAAGGCGACGAUCAGUAGCCGGUCUGAGAGGAUGAACGGCCACAUUGGAACUGAGACACGGUCCAAACUCCUACGGGAGGCAGCAGUGGGAAUAUUGCACAAUGGGGGGAACCCUGAUGCAGCAAAACCGCCGCGUGAGUGAAGAAGUAUUUCGGUAUGUAAAGCUCUAUCAGCAGGGAAGAUAAUGACGGUACCCUGACUAAGAAGCUCCGGCUAAAUACGUGCCAGCAGCUGC